GAUGAACGCUAGCGGCAGGCUUAACACAUGCAAGUCGAGGGGUAGGGUAGCAAUACCUGAGACCGGCGCACGGGUGCGUAACGCGUAUGCAAUCUACCUUGUACAGGGGAAUAGCCCAGAGAAAUUUGGAUUAAUGCCCCAUAGUAUAUAACCUUCGCAUGUUGGUUAUAUUAAAGUUCCAACGGUACAAGAUGAGCAUGCGUCCCAUUAGUUAGUUGGUAAGGUAACGGCUUACCAAGACGAUGAUGGGUAGGGGUCCUGAGAGGGAGAUCCCCCACACUGGUACUGAGACACGGACCAGACUCCUACGGGAGGCAGCAGUGAGGAAUAUUGGUCAAUGGUCGCAAGACUGAACCAGCCAUGCCGCGUGCAGGAAGACGGUCCUAAUGGAUUGUAAACUGCUUUUAUACAGGAAGAAACCCUCCCACGUGUGGGAGCUUGACGGUACUGUAGGAAUAAGGAUCGGCUAACUCCGUGC
rnacentral:rRNA from 1 species